GGCCCUUUAGUAUAGUGGUUGAUUACGCUCUACGGUAUAGCAACGGAGCGUAAUUGCUCGAAGAUCGCCUAUUAAGCAGUUAUAUACCUCUAGCCUUAGCUCUACAUUACUCGUAGAGACUUCCUAGGGCCGGAGGUAGUACUGCUUAGGCAUCCGAGAGCGGUUACAAUCUAUAUACUUGCGUUAUACUCGAUCGAGAAUGUCUCUUUUAUACUAGAGUAACCCGGGUUCGAAUCUCGGAGGGGCUA